rnacentral:lncRNA from 1 species
CUAGGCUGCAUACACAUAAAGGUCAAAAAACUCUUCCAGUGCUCCUGGAAGCCCCUGGAUACCCUCCUCUGGUGCAGCAGGGUCUCUGCGUAAGCGUUGUGUCUCUUUCUUCUGG